UUUUUAUUGGAUGUUGACUGACAUGUGUCAUGUUUUUAUUGGAUGUUGACAUUAAUUAGAUCUACAAAAUUAACAUCUAAUAAAAGCACGACACAUGACGAUCAACGUUC
rfam:Glycine max cultivar Williams 82 chromosome 18, whole genome shotgun sequence.